AUUACUACUGGGGGAAUUCUGAGUUCCAAUCCCUGCUCCAGUGAAUAUGAUGGAUGACAACCUGCUACUACAGAAAAUGGUGGAGAUACUACAAAAACUAACAUGUUCAAAGGAUGCAUUUGGUGACUCAAGCUAAGUGCUAUGGAGUUGGUGUAGCACCAUUUUAAAGCACACUGUGAGCACAGCUAUUAUACAAAGAACCCAAAAAAAUCAUUGACUAUUUUGGCACAUGGCACUGAGGCUGGAAUUGUCAAACUCCCUCAGCUUGGCUUGGCUCCUUUUCCAUCUCCAGUACUUUAAGACAGACAGACCCCAACAUUGUAAAUCAAGUCCUCCUAUUGAAUUGAUUACUUGCAAGCAGCAUUAGCAGCCAUUGCACUUACUGCAAACUUGAUUCCCCAGGGACUGGGGCUCCUGCAGCUCUAGCAGCAGUAAGGUGCACUUGAAAGAGCAUUAGACAGAGCACAUUACUUAGAAACCAGACCCAACUAUACCACAGAGAGCCUUACAUCUAGAUUAGAAGGAGAGAAAACCAAUACGCCAACCAGCAAGCAGAUUCCCCCCUGGUUUGAAGGCAGAUUAGCCAGUUAGUCUGAUUCAGAGACAGGCACCAAGUAACAGUGUUUCUUAAAGAAUGUCUGAAUGUUAGAAACUAACAAGCUGGUACAUAGCCAGAACAGGCUAUAUACCCUUUAAGGAAAACUCAGGACAUUGACAGUAAUCCCAAAGUGUAAACAGCUUCUCCCCAGUAAACUCUCAGCUAACAUAGCAAUGCUGCCUGGCUUGACCCCAGUCUCCAGGACCUGUGGAGAAUUUGGUUAGAGAUUCCUAGGCACCCUUCUGCGUUUUGCUGUAUCAUUGGGAGGAAAUGAUGAUAAACUAUCUGCCCUGCAAAGCCACAAAUAGGUUAUUGGCUGCAUCCACAUGAGAUGAAGGGCUAUGAAGGAACUUGAAUUAUACAGUGUACAUUUAAAAGAUCCAAGGCUUAGGAUGUAUAAAAAGCUGCAUUUGAAUUAAAUACUAGUGUCUUUGUAAUACACCUAGUGAAAUUAAGGAUAUUAUAACUUGUAAAAGAGGUGGAUCACUGGCACCAGUCAGUUGUCGAGACUAGCCCUUCUAAUAUAUUUUUUUAAAUACUUAUGUGCUCUCAUCUCACUUAUACAUUGCUUAAUAACAAAUUGUGAUAGACUUAAUAUUGUCAUCCAUGUAUGCAGGUUCUAGGUACACUCAUAACCUAACAAUUAUUUUGUAACUGCGUCUCAUUUAUCACUCUUAAUCAUGCAAGCAUCCCUAACCAUCCAUGGUAGAUAAUGCUUCCAUGCGGCAAAAUGCAUUAAUAUUUCCAUUUUUGCUAAAUAAACAGACUGAUUUUUUUACUUUGAAACAUUUAUAGAUUUUUAUUUAUCAUCUAUCCUCCACACAAUCCAUUCUGGAUUCUAACAGAUCACAAAAAUCCUUGGGGAGUUUGUGCAUCCACUUUAUUAGCUUUACAUUUUAUGAAGUUUUGUUUUCUGCAGACCUCAGAGGAAAGUUUUUUUUAUAUAUUAAAAAAAGUAGUUAAGCCUUUAGUUCUUAAGUUAUAAUUACAUCCUAUGGCUGAUUCUGUCCCUGUGAUAUCCAUAGAGGCUCAGGCCCUUGGGAGCAGGAAAUCUAGUUAGAAGGGGUUAGCAGUGGUUCAAAGUGCCCAUGACUCCUUUUUCUGGUAGGGUACUGAAGUUGCUCAGCAUGACACCAAAAGUGAUGGAUGUAAUCCAGGAAGCUCCUCAAACACCAGUUGGCAGAGGGAACAUCAAACCAUAACUCUCAGCAGGCCUGACACACUCCUUGCCUCCAAUUCACUGUUAUUACCUGUAAGGUGUCAUAUGCAAACUGGUAACAUGCUAGUCAUUAAUAUUGAGUGAUGUAUGUCCAGGUGGUAUAUAAAGAACUAAAGAGAUGUGCUGGAAAUAUGUUCCUAAAAUGUGUUUGGCUGGCAGUGUCAAAGCUCAGCCUGUGCUAGAAAAAGAACUGCUGUUUUGCUGGCUUGACUGUCUCCAGUAUAAAUCAAGCAAGGUGAGACCAGACACAAUGAAAAGGUUAUCUACGUGUAAGGUAAACAAAGCCAACAGCGAGCAAGUCGGGGCAGAUGACCACUUAACAAUCUCGACAGGGAUGGAGGCUGCACCCCCCAGAAAGCUGCCUGGAGUUUUGAACUUCAGACAAUGAAAUUUAAGAAGAUAUAAAUAGAAGAAAAAAUGCCAUUUUGUUAUCUAUCACUGGAUGAAGACAGGGGGCCAGAACUAUUGUAACCAAGAAAGUUGGAUCCUUCAAACAAAGGGGUUGAAGUCUCUGAGAGCUGAGUACAGGUGAGAAACUUGAUUAAACAAAGAUGACAAAAGUCUGAGUCACUAGAAAGCAUGUUUUGUUUUGUUUUAGUGUAACCAUAUCUGUCUUCUAUUCUUACUUAUCACUUAACUAUCUGUUUUGUGUUAAUAAAGCUAUUCCUGUUUGAUUACUAGACCAUCUCAGUGCUGUGUAUUACACUGAAAGGUAA